rnacentral:rRNA from 1 species
CCCAGACAGCCAGGAUGUUGGCUUAGAAGCAGCCAUCAUUUAAAGAAAGCGUAAUAGCUCACUGGUCGAGUCGGCCUGCGCGGAAGAUGUAACGGGGCUAAACCAUGCACCGAAGCUGCGGCAGCGAACGUAUCACUUAAAGCGAUUCAGCGGGUUACGAUUGACGGAGCGAAGCGACGUCAAAGCGUAUACAAAGUCGAGUCGGUUUAAGGAUACGUUCGUUGGGUAGGGGAGCGUUCUGUAAGCCUGUGAAGGUGGCCUGUGAGGGUUGCUGGAGGUAUCAGAAGUGCGAAUGCUGACAUAAGUAACGAUAAAGCGGGUGAAAAGCCCGCUCGCCGGAAGACCAAGGGUUCCUGUCCAACGUUAAUCGGGGCAGGGUGAGUCGACCCCUAAGGCGAGGCCGAAAGGCGUAGUCGAUGGGAAACGGGUUAAUAUUCCCGUACUUGGUGUUACUGCGAAGGGGGGACGGAGAAGGCUAUGUUGGCCGGGCGACGGUUGUCCCGGUUUAAGCGUGUAGGUGUGUGUUCCAGGUAAAUCCGGUUCACUUUAACACUGAGGCGUGAUGACGAGGCACUACGGUGCUGAAGCAACAAAUGCCCUGCUUCCAGGAAAAGCCUCUAAGCAUCAGGUAACAUCAAAUCGUACCCCAAACCGACACAGGUGGUCAGGUAGAGAAUACCAAGGCGCUUGAGAGAACUCGGGUGAAGGAACUAGGCAAAAUGGUGCCGUAACUUCGGGAGAAGGCACGCUGACACGUAGGUGAAGUGAUUUACUCA